AACCUGUGGCGCGCUCCGCGGUUCCGGCGCCUGAAGUUUUAGCUGCGGUGGCGGCGGCAGUCGGGACCGACUGCAAGGCAGGUUGAGAUGAUGGAUCUGAGGCUUGCAGCUCGCAGUCCCAACGAGCCUUAGGGACCAGGGCUACCAAAAGGGUGGGGAGAACGGUGGUGGCAUCUGUCUGUUGCCUGGGAUCCAGGCGCCCGGUUGGGGAAUCCUUACUUCAGGAAGCGCAGCCGCGGCUCUGUGUUUUGAGAGUGCAAAUGUCAUUUGUCAGAGUGAACCGCUGUGGUCCCCGAGUUGGUGUAAGAAAGACACCGAAAGUAAAGAAGAAGAAAACUUCAGUGAAACAAGAAUGGGAUAAUACCGUGACUGAUCUAACCGUUCAUCGGGCAACUCCCGAAGAUCUGGUACGCCGUCAUGAAAUACACAAAUCGAAGAAUAGAGCAUUAGUACACUGGGAACUCCAAGAAAAAGCUUUGAAGAGAAAAUGGAGGAAGCAGAAACCAGAAACUUUAAAUCUUGAGAAAAGAAGAUUGUCUAUCAUGAAGGAGAUUCUUUCUGAUCAAUACCAGAUGCAAGAUGUGUUGGAGAAAUCUGAUCAUCUAAUAGCUGCAGCAAAAGAGCUGUUUCCUCGUAGGCGCACAGGGUUUCCAAAUGUAACAGUGGCUCCUGAUUCCUCUCAGGGUCCCAUUGUGGUAAAUCAAGACCCUAUCACCCAAUCUAUCUUUAAUGAGUCUGUCAUAGAACCUCAGGCUCUUAAUGAUGUAGAUGGUGAAGAAGAAGGAACUGUUAAUAGCCAGUCAGGAGAAAGUGAGAAUGAGAAUGAGUUGGAUAACUCUCUAAACUCUCAGUCUAACACGAAUACAGACAGGUUUCUCCAACAACUAACAGAAGAGAAUUUUGAGUUAAUUAGUAAGUUGUGGACUGACAUUCAGCAGAAAAUAGCAACCCAGUCACAAAUAACUCCUCCAGGAACGCCAUCAUCUGCUCUUUCAUCAGGGGAGCAAAGAGCUGCUCUGAAUGCUACCAAUGCUGUCAAGAGACUCCAAACCAGGCUUCAGCCUGAAGAAUCUACUGAGACUCUAGACUCAAGCUACGUUGUGGGACACGUGCUGAACUCAAGGAAGCAAAAACAGCUGUUAAAUAAAGUGAAAAGGAAACCGAAUUUGCAUGCUCUUUCCAAGCCGAAGAAAAACAUAUCAUCAGGUAGCACAACCUCUGCAGACUUACCAAAUAGGACUAAUUCCAACCUGGAUGUCCUCAAACACAUGAUACAUGAAGUGGAACAUGAAAUGGAAGAAUAUGAGCGGUGGACAGGUCGCGAGGUCAAGGGUCUGCAGAGCAGUCAGGGUCUUACAGGCUUCACUUUGUCGCUGGUGAGCUCCCUCUGUCGCCUGGUUCGGUACCUUAAAGAGAGUGAGAUCCAGCUACGUAAAGAAGUAGAGACAAGGCAACAACUGGAACAAGUAUUAGGUGAUCAUCGAGAGCUCAUUGAUGCUCUGACAGCUGAAAUUCUUCGUCUUAGAGAAGAAAACGCUGCUACACAGGCAAGACUUCAGCAGUACAUGGUCACAACAGAUGAGCAACUGAUAUCACUCACACAUGCUAUUAAGAACUGUCCUGUGAUAAAUAACAGACAAGAAAUUCAGGCAUCAGAAAGCGGAGCCACAGGUAGAAGAGUUAUGGACAGUCCAGAGCGUCCAGUUGUAAAUGCCAAUGUCUCAGUGCCAUUGAUGUUCAGAGAGGAAGUGGCUGAAUUCCCACAGGAAGAGUUGCCCGUUAAACUGUCUCAGGUGCCAGACCCUCCAGAUAACAUGAAUCUGGCCAAGAAUUUUCCAGCACAUAUUUUUGAGCCAGCUGUGUUGUUAACACCACCCAGGCAGAAGAGCAACUUAAAAUUCUCUCCUCUUCAGGACGUAUUGAGAAGGACUGUUCAAACUCGUCCUGCUCCACGACUUCCUCCAACUGUGGAAAUAAUUGAGAAGGAACAAAAUUGGGAAGAGAAGACCUUACCUAUUGAUACAGACAUUCAGAAUUCAAGUGAAGAGAAUCGUCUCUUCACUCAGAGAUGGAGAGUCUCUCACAUGGGAGAAGAUUUGGAGAACAAAACUCAGGCUCCUUUUGUUAACCUCUCACAGCCCCUCUGCAAUUCCCAUUCCAACACUCAACAGUCAAGAAGCCCCACAUUCUCAGAAGAGCUCCCAGUACUGGGAGAUGGGCAGCAGCUGAGAACAAAUGAGUCAUUAAUACAAAGAAAGGACAUAAUGACACGAAUUGCUGAUUUGACAUUGCAGAAUUCAGCUAUCAAGGCACAUAUGAAUAAUAUUAUUGAGCCCAGAGGAGAGCAAGGGGAUGGACUCCGGGAGUUGAACAAACAAGAAAGUGCAAGUGACAUGACUUCUACUUUUCCAGUAGCACAGUCUCUAACACCAGGUAGUAUGGAGGAACGGAUUGCAGAAUUGAAUCGACAAAGUAUGGAGGCUCGUGGAAAACUACUGCAGUUGAUAGAGCAGCAGAAACUUGUUGGUUUGAAUCUUUCUCCACCAAUGUCACCUGUUCAGUUACCUCUCAGAGCAUGGACUGAAGGAGCAAAGAGGACAAUUGAGGUAUCUAUUCCAGGAGCAGAAGCCCCAGAAAGCUCAAAAUGUAGUACUGUCUCUCCCGUCAGCGGGAUAAAUACAAGAAGAUCUUCCGGGGCUACUGGUAAUUCUUGUUCUCCACUAAAUGCCACCUCAGGAAGUGGGAGAUUCACACCUCUUAAUCCAAGAGCAAAGAUUGAGAAACAGAAUGAAGAAGGCUGGUUUGCUCUUUCUACCCAUGUAUCAUAAGUGAAGUCAAGUCUCACUGAGUUUGUUCUUAAUAAUUUAUUACUUCCCUUUCCCUGCUCUGACUUUUAAGUUUUUAUAUCCUUCUUUCAGAUAAAACCUACAAAGAUCCUGUGAAUUAGUACUAAUGAAACAGAGAAAUAAAGCAAUUAUUUUUUGACUUUCUCAAAUAAGUUUUCAACAACCAACUGACCUACAGCUCCCUGUGAAUGAAACUUUGACUGUAGAGAAGUUAAAGUUUUGUAUUUUAAUACUUUCUUAAGUAUUUUAAGGGUUUUUUUUAUUAAUACAUUUUUACCUUUAUCUUUAUUCAGGGUUUUUUGAGGUUUAGUAUAUCUUAGUUGAUCCAUUUAUUUAUUUAUUUUCCUGAAGAACUAAUUUGCUUUGCAUGUAACUUACAAUAAAAUUCCUCUGUGUGAUUAGAGUCUGGCUUUCAGGAAUAUGUAACACCCACUUUUCUUUCUUUUUUCUUGGGAAGUCAUUGCUGUUCAUCACUUUUUCCAUCAAGUGAAAUAUACAGCCUUAAAAACAAUAGGCCUGGGAGUGUUUGUUUAUAUUUGCUUAAGCAGCUGCCUACUAUCUCCCAGGACCCCUCUUAAAAUCGAAGUUAAAACCUCAACAUAGGAACGCCGCGAUCAGGGCUCCGUUGGGCCAUUUUGGAAUAUCAGUGUCAUGAGGCGGAGAAGGCCCGACCAAAGGGCGGAUAGGUACCGGGUUCCCGGAGAGCUGGACGCCGGCCGCGCAUGCGCCCCACGGCCCGCCCUGGUUCCGCCUCCCUGGAAGAGGGGUGGCGUUGUCUCGGUAACCGGAGUAAACGGAGGCCUCCGGCAGACGCUGUGAAGAGAGGAGCCGCGGCGGUCAGUACCUUCGAGGAAAUGAAGGAACCAGAUGAUCAGGAUACUGAUGGGGAGAAAUCAGUUACAUCAAAGAGUGAUGGGAAGAAGUCUCUGAGGUCUUCUAAAUCAGAAUCAAGAUCUCCUGUUCAAGAAGAUAACACAUUUUUAGAAGAUGACACAGAUGAAACAUUUACCAAAGGGGAAGGAUCAUAUUUAGAAGAAGACUCAGAUGAGGAACGUUUGGAAGGAAGUUUGAGUUCAUUUCAGUAUGGUGAUUUGCAAAGCACUACAGUACCUCAGCAAACCCCUGCUCCAGCUGUGGAAGAAGCAGAGGAGGAAGUUAAGAAGAAAAUAUCAGAGAGCUUCUUCUAUGAUUAUAUGGAGCUUGCUUCGAUGCCUUUUGUGACUCUGGAUUCAAACAUACCACUGGAUCUUCUCACACUUGUGUAUCCACCCUGGCUAAAUAUGUAUAAUUUUGGGAUUUUCAUUUCUUAGGUCAGAGGUCAGCAAACUAUAGCCCAGGGAGCCCAAAUGUGCCUUCCCACCUGUUUUGGUAAAUCAAGUUUUAUUGCAACACAGCCACAUCCAUUUGCUUACAUUUUGUUUAUUAUGGCUGCCAUCACACAACAAGGACAGGGAUAAGUAGUUGUGACAGAGACCAUCUGGCUCACAAGGCAAAAACUAUUUACUACCUUCCCUUUAUAAAAAAAUGUGUGCCAACCCAUAUUAGGUAAUUCUAAGAAGCUUGAAUUCUUAGAGAUUUGAUAGAAAUGCAUGAUCUUAAUUUAAACUAAGCUUUUGUUUGAUGCCAAAUAACCAUACAGAGAAAUAUUUUUUCUGGCUGUCCUUUGCACAAGUGGAAAGGCUGCAGUUCAUGAGAUCUGAGUGAAGGAAAUCAGAAGGCUUCUUCUUCCCAUUUACUUUUGUCAGUGCCUGUCAAGUUACAUAAUCAAUUUCCCUUCUUGAAACACUUAUGUGUCUGUCCAUUGUAAGGCAUUAGUACUUUCACAUUAUAUAUCAGAUGAGCUAUCAGAGAAGACAAUUCUUAGGAAACAGGGCACAAAAUAUAAAGUUUUAAUUGGUUUGGAGAAUAAGAGUCUUUUAAGAUAUGUAGAAACAGGAUGAUUGACAAGGGGAUUUUGUGUUCGUCAUCACAUUAUGAUGUUAGGUUUGCAAUGCGGGUAGUUAGAAAACAGUUUUCAUUGAGGUCCUUAGCUGGCAAUGUACUGUGCUUCCCUUUUGGAUAGUUAGUACUUAUCACCACGUGGCCUAAACCACCAACUGGCCUCUUACAUAAGGAAUACUUACAGAGAUAGGGUGGUGUACUCCCUGACUCAGUUUUGCUUUUUACAUAAAAACAUAAAAAUAGAACAUGUUGUUAAAUCCCAGGUGUAACUAAAUUAAUUCGUGCUGAUUUAUCUUGUAACCUGGAAUUUUCUCUCUUCAUGGCUUUUUUUUUCCUUAUCUUUGGACAAGUUUCUGACAAAAGUUAUGCUGUUUGCUUUCUUUUAGCCUUUUUUUCCCAAAUGGGAUGGGGUGGUAUAUUAGAGUCCCCUGGAAGUUUUUCCUAAAGUACACAAUGCUCUGAUGCCUUCCGGGACCUACUGUGCUAGUUCUUUGUGGAGAGGGACUUGGGAAUAUGUACUCUGAAGAAACUCCGAGUUGGUUUGGCAGUGCACUGCCUUCUCACUGCUCCAGGAUGGGAGGGUCUGUAUUAGACAAAUAUGCCUAAAUUCUAAACAUCAGAGUCAGAAGAACCUUAACUUUUAUUCCAAUAUAUGAAUUAUCUCUAUUCGUGCUGGAUGGGUGGCUGUAUAAACUAUAGCCUUUUCUUAAACAUUUUCAACACCAGGAAAAUCACAAAGUAGCUUACCCCACUUUUGGACGGCUCACUAGAGAGCUUUUUGGGCCUUGAAUAAAAUUCUGCCUUGCUGGGAUGGCCCCCAUUAGAUUUAGUUCUCCUCUCUGCAGAUGGACAUAUAUAAUCUCUAUAUCUUGUGAGGAAUUCUAGGAAGAACAAGUCAGCCAUCAGGUAUUCCCUAAGUACUCUUUUAAUUAACCCUUUAAUGAUUAUUAGUAUAUUAUAUUGAUUCUACUUCAGUUUUUGCUUUUUUGUUUUGUUCUGUUUUGUUUUGAGAUGGAGUCUUGCUCUGUCGUCCAGGCUGGAGUGCAAUGGCACGAUCUCUGCUUACUGCAACCUCCGCCUGCCGGGUUCAAGCAAUUCUCCUGCCUCAGCCUCCCGAGUAGCUGGGACUAUAGGCAUGCACCACCACAUCCAGCUAAUUUUUGUAUUUUUAGUAGAGAUUGGGUUUCACCAUAAUGGCCAGGCUGGUCUCGAACUCCUGACCUCGUGAUCUGCCCGCCUUGGCCUCCCAAAAUGCUGGGAUUACAGGUGUGAGCCACCGCGCCUAGCCCUCUACUUCAGUUUUUAAAUUUAUGUCUUCUAAAUUUUAGCAAUGUUAAAUCAAGUUUAGCCUAAAGCUGCCUCCUUACAUACUUUAAGUUCAGCCUCCAGGUUUCUCUGUACAUGGUGAACUAUAACCUAAAGGGAGUUAGACUCUAGCCUACUCUUGAGCCAGUUACUGAGUUGUGGUCAAAGGUGGCCAACUGUUCAAACUGUGUUAAAAUAAGGCAGAUGCCAAGCUGUAACCAAUUCGGCUAUUUCUGUACCUCACUUUCGUUUUCUGUAUGUCACUUUCCUUUUUCAGUCCAUAAAUCUUCCUGCACGUGGCUGUGCUGGAGUCUCUGGGCCUACUCUGGCUCAGAAGGCUGCCGAAUUCUUGAAUGGUUCUUUGCUCAAUUAAACUCUGUUAAAUUUAA
rnacentral:lncRNA from 1 species